CCGGCGCCCUAGAGUGGCUACAGGCUGCGGCGUCGGGUUGGAGAACACGGAGUGCAUGGAGCCGCUUCGCUGGUCCGGCGCGGUCUCCUGCGUUCCAGUAGCGGGCACCUGACUCCCCAUGCCCGAGUACUGUCCUCGGGCGGAACGGCGUCUGCAGCGAGGGGCGGGGUUCCAGCCGAGUGGGCUGACGCGGUCCCUGGCAUUUCCCGUGCUGGCCCUGGGUCGCCCUCGAUGCUGCUUCCCGCUGGGAACCUCCUUCUGACGGCAGAAAGGAGCUUCACCUGGGGCGGCUGGCGGGAAACGGAGAAGAAUCCACCGGGGAAGUGGACAGGGCUGGCUCCCGGACCUGGCUCAGCGGCUCUCGGGCCGUCAGACCUCCUGCGGGUUGCGUCACUUUCCUCGGUUUUCUAGACAGCAGUUGUGGGGUUGAAUCCUUCCCGUGGUUUUGUAAGAAUUAAAUGAGAUAAUGAACGCGAACAGCAAUCAUUGCUGUUUGUUGGGUGCUUCCUGUGGGCCUGGCAAUAUUAACAACACGAGCUGCUCAUUCAUGCAUUCAUUCGCUACUCAGUGACUUUCCUAUCAAUACUGCAAGGUGUUGGAGAUGAGCACCCACCCUUUGGUCAGUAAAACUGCCAAGAUCACCGACCUUGUGAAGACAUUUGAGGAUGAGAGGUCCUUUCAUCUGCUGUUCCCCCAGUCCAGAUGCCAGCCAGGCAUUUGAGAACCAUCUGAUGGUAACAGGAUGGAGGCUGACUCAACUACACUCCACCACCUGCCUUCCUGCCUUCAGGGAGAUUUUGAACAUAGCUUAUCCUUUAAGUUCUUCUGCUUGUUACUGCUCACAGCACUGUGAUUCUACUUUAGGCACCUUCUGUACAUUCAUAUUCAUGACUUUUUUUCUCCUCUUUCCUGUUUAUGAUUAGAAAGGUGCUUCACCAAUAUAUUUUAUUUCAGAACCAAAGAAGAGAUCAAAUUAUAAUAACAUGAGCAUAGUAUUAUACUAUAGGAUACUAGUAAGAAACUCAGUUCCUCCUCUUUGUUCCCAUAAUAUUUUGUGAAUAUGUCUAUGAUAGUAUUUAAUACAUUGCAUUAUGACUGGUUGUUUGUGUCAUUCUCUACUUAUUAAUUAGACUUCUUUGAGGAUAGAGAUUGAGUUUUUAAAUUUGUUUCUUCAUUUGUUCUUUUACUUAGCUCAGUGCCUGGCAAAAAAACAAAUCAUUGUUGAAUCAGUUUUUAAGUGAAAUAGGGAUAAGUGGGAGGCUAACUUAUCCAGUCUUUGAAAAUGCCUAGCGAUCCCCUUCAGAAUUCUCAUACAUCAUCAUCAAUCUUCUUACCCUGUAAAUAAAUAUACUAAUCACUAAUUUUAAUCUUUCAUAAUCUACUUUUUUGCUUAAUAAUAUGUGAUAACUCCAUGAUUUGUUUAUUCAUUUAUUCUAGGGUCUUUCAUCCUGGGCAUUAUUUACACAUUGGGCCAGGAGGGCCUUGUUAUGGAGGGUGAUAAAAAUUCUUUGCUUGACCAAACUUUAUUCAGGCUCCUGAACCUUCUCCUAGGCCUGUCUGUAUACUUUCUUGUAAAAUCAGAUUUAGCAACAAACCUGUUUAGUCAGUUUAGCAACUGCCCAUCACCCGCAUCCUUGAUAUAUGAUCACCAUCAAUAUGUUCCUCAUCCUCCAACAUCCCUUAGAUGAAAUCUAAUAACCCUAGCCUGUCAUCAGCAAGAAUCCUGUUAGAUUGUGUUAGCCAGAAUCCUCCUUACCCUUGAUGAUUCCUCUUAGCAGUUGUCCAUUCACUUAUCCUACCCUGCUCCUUCUCUAUAAAUUCCCACUUGCCGCAUGCUAUAUACAGAGUUGAGCACAGUCUCUCUCCCCAACUGCAAAAUCUUAUUGCAAUAGUCCCUAUACCUAUGGCAAUGAUCUUGAAUAAAGUCCUCCUUGCCAUGCUUUAGCAAGUGUCAUUGAUUUCUUUUACAGGACCUGUCCUAUGCAGUGUACAAUGUUUAACAGCAUCCCUGGCCUUUAUCCACUAUAUGCCAUUAGUACUACCCCUUCUUCACUGUGGCAAACAUAAGUGUCUCCAGACAUUGCCAAAUGUCUCCUGGAGGACAAAAUUGUCCCUGGUUGAGGACACUGAUUUAUUCUAAUAUUAUAUUAAUCAUUUUUCUUGACAUUUGCCUACCCAAUGACUAUUAGAAACUCAAUAGUAAAUGCUUUGCUUUUUGCAUUUUGUUCUAGAAAUAGUUAAUAUCAAAUUAACAGAAGUUUUACAAAAUUAGAUGUUUUAAACUCCUUAUUAAACUCUGAAAUAAUGCUACCAGACUCUGGAAUGUUCUCUCAUCUUAGAAUGUGCCCUCUUUAUGACCUAUGGAUUUGUUGUUUAAAAUUUAAAAGUUAGCUUUAAGUGAAUGAAACAUAAAUUAUCUUAAAGCAAAGGUAUAGUAACAUUAUGAAAAAGAGUAAAGAGUAUUAAGACUGAUAGCCUUUGGGAGAAGUGAAUUUGCUAAAUGAGUGACUUUGAUCAAAUUUUUAUGCACAGAUAUAUGUACUUUGUAGAUUUUUAUCAUUGCAAUGUCUUUUGUAUCUUUGAUUUUCAAAAGAUUUCUAAAAUAAGGACAUUCUUACACAAAAAAUUCUUAAACAUCUUUCAAAGUUUAAAAAGUCAGAAGUUUUUAGAAGCUGUUAUAUUUUACUUUUUAAAAAAUGUUUUUAUUGUUAAAUGAAAACACAUUAUAAUAAUUGCAUAAAAACAUAAGUAUGCAGUUUAAUGAAUUACUAUAAUAGGAACACUGUAUAAUCACCAAUCAAGGUCAAGAGGUAGAAUAUUGGUAGGGCUCAGAAGCACCCGUACCUCCAUGCCCAUCCCCAUCCACAGCUUCCUCUCUCUUCUUAAGUGUCGUCCCUUCCUGACAUUUAUGGGUAAUAUGUAGUCACAUUUUUGUUCUGUUUAUUCUCUAUUUUUUAUUUUUAUUUUAGAGAUAAGGUCUCAAUCUGUCACCCAGCCUGGAGUGCACUGGCACCGUCAUAGCUCACUGCUGCCUCAAACUCCUGGGCUGUCCAUCUCAGCCUCCCAAGUAGCUGGGAUUACAGGGAGCUCCCAUGUUCAUGGAAGUGACAAAGAAUUUCAGUCCAGUGUGAUAAGAGAUGUGAGAGAUAAGUACCAUGUGCUCCACACCAGAGAGAAGGUGUUCCUAACUCAAGCUUGGGGAUGGGGCAAUGAUCGGAUUCCUGGAGGAGGUGCUACUGAGUUGUGUCUUGAAGCAUGAAUAAGAUAUGGCAGACUAAUAAAGUGAAGUUCUGUCAAAAGUUACAGUCUGGACUCAGUUAUACUGUGGGGAAUUGAGGAAGGGCCUAUCCCGUGCUUCGGAAAGAAAUGCAAAGGAGAGAGCAGUAAACUUCCUCCUUGAGACCAGGGUGUUGGUAACAGAAGUCAUCUGCAGAAAGCCACACUCACCUGAGCCAUCAUUGUGAUCUUACAGAAAGAUAUGGCAGCCUUAGAGCCUUAGAUGGCACAUGGCCCCUGGAGACCUGCUAAAGAGACCAUAUGGUGGAAUCCUGAGAGUUCUCAGAAGCAGCUGUUUAACCUCACUUCCAGUUUCCUGCCAUUAUCCAGAAAAGGAACACCACUAAUUAAGAGAUUUUCUCGAAUGACUGUUAUGUAAGGAAAAGUCUUAGGACAACAAGGAGACAACAUAGCUUAAAGGUUAAGACUUGUGGGCGCUGGAACCAGAUGAACUACUUUUAAAAGGACCUGCUUCUUAGUAACUGUGUAUCUUGAUGAUCUCUUUGUUUCUCAGUUUUCUCAUGUGAGGAAUAAUAAAAUCAACUUAAAGAUUAUUUGAGGAUUUAGUGAAUAAUACUAUAUUUUAUCUAUUCUGAAGAGAAUAUUUUUUCACACUUUAACUGAUAUCGCGCCAUGACUUACAAUUGAUUGUCUUAUAAUCACAGAAUUGCUGUUGCUUACACAUGUAAACUUGGCUGUCACUUUUCUUGUAGUUGUUUCAUCAGUUGAAUUAUAUACAUUGUGGUGCUAUACAAUUUGAAUUUAAUUACCAUUUAAAGUGCCUUAAAAAUUACAUUGAUUCACCACGGAAGCAAACAUUACUGUGUAUGGACAAUGGCACUGAAGAAAAGCAGGAGGGCUUAAAUUUGAUAUUUAGUAAAGCAAGUAUUUGUCCCUGAAGGAAAGACUGCAAUUCCACUUAUUCAUGCAAAACAACCCAAAGAGGAACUGUGUUAUAUUUUGUGACUGAGAUAUGAGCCUAU